CGAACGAAUGGCGCUCGUGAAAUCGUGUUUUCUUCCUUUUGAAGAUCUCCGACCGGGUGCACUUGCCACCCUCGAGGCCGACAGGGAAAACUCGACGAUGCGAGGACACGGAUCGAACGAAACGAUGCACCAUUUACGCUUCGAUCGGCGAGUGUUUUGCGCCGUUCGAGAAAAAAGGAGGUGGAAGAACCUGUCAUGCCACUCGAGCCCGGAAAGGAAAAAGAAAAGCAUGCAGCCGAUGUCGUUACCGAACGGAAAUGAGGAACGAUUCGAGAAUGAUCUGGCCAACGCGCCGCAGAAUAUGAUAAGGCCACCGAUCUGCACUGCCCACCUACAGCUCUCGUAUAAUGAUAUCGAUAACGACGUCGUGUAUGCGACUAAAAAGCGCGCCAGCCACGAGAACACGUCUACCACGGACGGGACGGAGAGGCAGCUGCUGAUUACACUCAUCGAGCGAUAGAUCGGUUCUCUCGGGAAGUUAUAUGGCAAAUGGAAGUGAACCACGGCAUGGAGCUAUUCCCGGGCCACCUACCGCUCAGCGUAAUAAUAUUGACAGCGAUCGGCAGCAGUAAAAGAAGGCGCGAUGGCUGACGAUUGCAUUCGCCAUCCACUACGAUUUUCUCCCACUACAACCGCUCUCUGUCCUCCUACUCUGAUGGCAGUUGGGCCACCUCUUCCUGAAAAGUAUACCAUCACCGACCAUUGGGUGCAACUGAAAUCAAGGCUACCGAUUGGACGGCCUCUAACGCUCGCCUAGGAAUGCCGCGUGCAACGAAUGCAACGCGCGACACACGUGUGGAGAUGCAGAUUAACGUAAUCUCCGUGAGCCAUAUGUUAUCGGGCCGAGAUCGGCGACGCCUUCGGAUUGCUCCGCGCGAAGGAUUUAUGUUAAUUCUAAAUAACCUUCGCUGAAAUUAACCGUUUUGCGUAACGCUUAAAGCUCCUUCCCCGGAUCGAGAGGGAGCCUUCAAUGUCAUCCAAUCAAUUUUUUGCCCAGAUCUUAGAAAUAAUCACGAUAUAUCUAUAUUAAUAUCCAUGUCUAUCUCUAUCUGAUAAGGUAAUGAUAAAUAUCACGAAGCAAUCAAACGUGUUCAUACUCGAAGUGUUCAUACAUAUUCAUUAAAGAAAAUUCAAAAGAAAAUUUUUAGAAAUAUUAUUACUUCGCAGUAUCUCUCGAAACUCCGUCAAUUAAUACGUCUCUAUAUUUUUGGUAUUUAAAAAUCGUGCAAAGCAAAAUGUAUUUGUAAAAUACAAAUUUAGUUUGUAUAAGAAAAAUCCUUAAAACCUCCAAAAGCGUUAAAAAAUAUUGCGUAUUUAAAUACUUAAUGUACUCCAUCUCAAUGUUAAUUUAAAACAAAUGUGUUGGCAUCGUAGAAGAUUUCUAUCGUAUAGCUAAAUCGAAGUAAUCUAUGUAACUAAACUGUAUUAAAUACAAAAACGAAGUUUUAACGUGCAGUGGAUAUAUUAUCUA